rnacentral:rRNA from 7 species
GCGCUUACCACUUUGUGAUUCAUGACUGGGGUGAAGUCGUAACAAGGUAACCGUAGGGGAACCUGCGGUUGGAUCACCUCCUUACCUUAAAGAAGC